CGGGGGGGGCAAGCGUUGUACGGAAUUACUGGGCGUAAAGGGCUCGUAGGUGGCCAACUAAGUCAGACGUGAAACCCCUCGGCUUAACCGGGGAACUGCAUCUGAUACUGGAUGGCUUGAGUUUGGGAGAGGGACGCGGAAUUCCAGGUGUAGCGGUGAAAUGCGUAGAUAUCUGGAGGAACACCGGUGGCGAAGGCGGCGUCCUGGACCAACACUGACACUGAUGAGCGAAAGCCAGGGGAGCAAACGGGAUUAGAUACCCCGGUAGUCCUGGCCCUAAACGAUGAAUGCUUGGUGUGGCGGGUAUCGAUCCCUGCCGUGCCGAAGCUAACGCAUUAAGCAUUCCGCCUGGGGAGUACGGUCGCAAGGCUG
rnacentral:rRNA from 1 species